rnacentral:rRNA from 1 species
AACGAACGCUGGCGGCGUGCCUAAUACAUGCAAGUCGAACGUUAAGUGUAGCAAUACGCUGAAAGUGGCGAACGGGUGAGUAACACGUAAGUAAUCUGCCUUUAAGAUUGGGAUAACCUUGCCAACGCGGGGCUAAUACCGGAUGUGGUUGACAUGACGCAUGUUGUGUUAAUUAAAGGAGUGAUCCGCUUAAAGAUGAACUUGCGGCCCAUUAGUUAGUUGGCGGGGUAACGGCCCACCAAGACCGCGAUGGGUAGCCGGCCUGAGAGGGUGUACGGCCACAUUGGGACUGAGAUACGGCCCAGACUCCUACGGGAGGCAGCAGUAGGGAAUUUUGCGCAAUGGACGAAAGUCUGACGCAGCAACGCCGCGUGAGGGAUGAAGGUCUUCGGAUUGUAAACCUCUGUUGAAUGGGAAAAAAGUAGCAAUAUUUGAUGGUACCAUUUUGAGGAAGCACCGGCUAACUACGUG